AGAUCCCUUUUCAGUCAGCAACUAUGGCUUUCAAGAUCCCUUCUCAGUGGAAGGAAGGAAGGAAGGAAGGAAGGAAGGAAGGAAGGAAGGAAGGAAGGAAGGAAGGAAGGAAGGAAGGAAGGAAGGAAGGAAGGAAGGAAGGAAGGAAGGAAGGAAGGAAGGAAGGAAGGAAGGAAGGGAGGAAGAGGAAGAAAGAGAGAGAGAAAGAGAGAGAG
rnacentral:lncRNA from 1 species